UACGAAGGGUGCAAGCGUUAAUCGGAAUUACUGGGCGUAAAGCGUGCGUAGGCGGUUCGUUAAGUCUGUCGUGAAAGCCCUGGGCUCAACCUGGGAAUGGCGAUGGAUACUGGCGAGCUAGAGUCAGGUAGAGGGUGGCGGAAUUCCCGGUGUAGCGGUGAAAUGCGUAGAGAUCGGGAGGAACAUCUGUGGCGAAGGCGGCCACCUGGACCAUGACUGACGCUGAGGCACGAAAGCGUGGGGAGCAAACAGGAUUAGAAACCCCGGUAGUCC
rnacentral:rRNA from 1 species